rnacentral:lncRNA from 1 species
GGGCUGUGCGUGCGGCUGUGCGUGGGGCUGCGCCCACACCGCUCAGGAGCAGCGCUGGGCGAGACUCACCUCCCUGCACGGGGAUGAAGAACAUCAUAAUAUGUUUGAAGCAAAGAACUGCAGAUAGGGAGAUUUUCAAAAAGCCAUUUGUUUACCUGGGUGAGGCAUUCAGACCAAAAGCGAAGGGUUAUUCAGGAAAGAACUCAAGCAUGUGGCUACAGCACUGGAGCAGACCCAUUCAGCCUCAGCUCGCAGCAGCACAGCUAGGGGUGCAGUGGGGUUCAUCAGGCCAGCACCUCCUCCUGGAGCUGAGCACAAGCCUGCACUCCUGGAUCAUGCCAUCCUGGCCAUUUAUUUGCCUGAAACUUAAACCUAUGCACUUCUCCUGGUGGUUGCAAAGUUUGCCACGCUCUGUCAAGCCUGCAGCGAUUACUUAUGGG